UAGGAACAUACCUACUUUGGUUAGAUUAGAUGACAAAACCGGGGAGAGUUUAGAAUUGUACAGGACUCGACUCGAAGAAUAAGAGCUUCCCUUUUCAAAUCGUACAAAAUAGUUGAAAAAACGUUAUUGGAAGAACCCUUUCGAAUAACCCAUUUCCCCCUUCUAAGUUCCAACCUCUGCAACAACCUUACCAGUUGCAGACAAAAUCGCCCAACGGCCAUUUCGUUCGAUCUUAUUAAGGAAAAAAACCAUUUUCUUAAAAAAAAAAACCUUCUGAUUCUGAUCUGGGUUCCAUGUCUUCUAAGCUUUGGAAUACGGUUUUGAGUCUCUUUUUGCUGAGCUUCUUUGGAUGGUCAUCAGCUUCUUCGGGAUCGCGUUCGAUCCUCAGAGAAAUCGGUGCCGAAAACGGUGAUCCUCGUGACUAUGGCGUCGAUUUGAAUCUUACCAACUUUGAUUCUGUCCUUAAGGAUACCCCGGCUACCUAUGCCGUCGUUGAAUUUUUCGCUCACUGGAGUCCUGCUUGCAGAAAUUAUAAGCCCCAUUAUGAAAAAGUAGCAAGGCUUUUUAAUGGACCAGAUGCGGUUCAUCCAGGGAUUGUAUUGAUGACUAGGGUAGACUGUGCAUCUAAGAUAAAUACUAAACUCUGUGAUAGAUUCUCUGUGAGUCAUUAUCCUAUGCUCUUCUGGGGACCCCCUUCUAAAUUUGUUGGUGGUAGUUGGGAACCUAAGAAGGAGAAAAGUGAAAUACUUGUAAUUGAUGAUGGGCGUACAGCUGAUCGGUUACUUAAUUGGAUCAAUAAGCAAUUGGGCAGCUCAUUCAGCUUGGAUGAUGAGAAAUUUGAAAAUGACCAUCUUCCAUCAAAUGUCUCAGACCCUGGACAGAUUGCACGAGCUGUCUAUGAUGUUGAAGAGGCUACGACCACUGCCUUAGAAAUCAUCUUAGACACAAGGUGCCGAAAGGGAAGUGCUGAGAUUCUUGUGAACUUUGAUGAUUUGUUCCCAUCAGAUCUGCUGUUGGCCGACAAACAGGAAGAAAAUGAUGGAAAGAGUCCAUUGAGUAGUUUCCAGAUUUGUGGAAAAGAUGUUCCUCGUGGAUAUUGGGUUGGUACCUGAAAAUCUGCACUUUACUGUUUGCUCCUUUUGCUUCAUCUUAUCAUGUGAUGUACAAUUGUACAGAAGUUUUGCCGUGGCAGCAAGAAUGAAUGGAAAGUGCAUAUGGCCAUUAAUGGUGCAAAGCGAGACAUAAAGGUUUCAAGUGAACAUCGCAAAGGUGUAUAUGUUAUCACCGAUUUGUUAUCAUGAAAAGAUGGUUCAAUGCCUAGUGCAACCAAAUUUUUGGCAAAUUUUGUGAUAAUUCCACUAUAUUAAAGUUCAAGUUGAAAAACACUUUGUUUUAUGCACUAAUGCAAUGACUCUUAUAAGACA